AGAACGAACGCUGGCGGCAGGCUUAACACAUGCAAGUCGAGCGCCCCGCAAGGGGAGCGGCAGACGGGUGAGUAACGCGUGGGAAUCUACCCAACUCUACGGAAUAGCUUCGGGAAACUGGAAUUAAUACCGUAUACGCCCUACGGGGGAAAGAUUUAUCGGAGUUGGAUGAGCCCGCGUUGGAUUAGCUAGUUGGUGGGGUAAUGGCCUACCAAGGCGACGAUCCAUAGCUGGUCUGAGAGGAUGAUCAGCCACACUGGGACUGAGACACGGCCCAGACUCCUACGGGAGGCAGCAGUGGGGAAUAUUGGACAAUGGGCGAAAGCCUGAUCCAGCCAUGCCGCGUGAGUGAUGAAGGCCUUAGGGUUGUAAAGCUCUUUCAGUGGGAAGAUAAUGACGUACCGCAGAAGAAGCCCGGCUAACUUCGUGCCAGCAGCCGC
rnacentral:rRNA from 1 species